CCAAGGCUUCAGCAGGCAGCAGAAGCAGAGACGCAGAGGAAAAGCACCUUAUGUAGUUGCAGGUGCAAACCCCAGUAAUUCCUCAAACGUGAAUGUGUCAAUGUCGUGACCUGAAGACCUAAAUGUGUUGCAGCCACCCCGGUUCAAAGGGGUCACGGUCCGGGCCUCCGGGGAGCUGUUCUGCUCUCCAUCUCCUCUCACGCUGGGGAGUGGAGUUCCCAAGCAUUUCCCCUGACUGUGGCUCAGAACAAUCCCACGUCGGCGCCCAAUCAGGAGAGCGGAGCAGCUCGUUUCAUCAAUGUGGACAUGACUCAUGGCCAGGACAAUGGGAGGAUACGAAGGCAUGCCGUAACGCGCAAAUGCAGCCAGUUGUUUUACUGUGUAGUGGCAAUUUCCUGAACUUUAUGGUGUAACACUUUAAAACCUCUGAAGUCAUCAAGUGUUUUGUCAUAUUAAGUAUGAUAUAAAAAAAGGAAGUCUGAUAAUAAAGCUGUAAAAUCUC